UCCUACGGGAGGCAGCAGUAGGGAAUCUUCCGCAAUGGACGAAAGUCUGACGGAGCAACGCCGCGUGAGUGAUGAAGGUUUUCGGAUCGUAAAACUCUGUUGUUAGGGAAGAACAAGUACGAGAGUAACUGCUCGUACCUUGACGGUACCUAACCAGAAAGCCACGGCUAACUACGUGCCAGCAGCCGCGGUAAUACGUAGGUGGCAAGCGUUGUCCGGAAUUAUUGGGCGUAAAGCGCGCGCAGGCGGUCCUUUAAGUCUGAUGUGAAAGCCCACGGCUCAACCGUGGAGGGUCAUUGGAAACUGGGGGACUUGAGUGCAGGAGAGAAGAGUGGAAUUCCACGUGUAGCGGUGAAAUGCGUAGAGAUGUGGAGGAACACCAGUGGCGAAGGCGACUCUUUGGCCUGUAACUGACGCUGAGGCGCGAAAGCGUGGGGAGCAAACAGGAUUAGAUACCCUGGUAGUCCACGCCGUAAACGAUGAGUGCUAAGUGUUAGAGGGUUUCCGCCCUUUAGUGCUGCAGUAAACGCAUUAAGCACUCCGCCUGGGGAGUACGGCCGCAAGGCUGAAACUCAAAGGAAUUGACGGA
rnacentral:rRNA from 1 species